rnacentral:rRNA from 1 species
CUCAGGAAGAAACGCUGGCUACAGGCUUAACACAUGCAAGUCGAGGGGAAAACGACGGGGAAGCUUUGCUUCCCCGGGCGUCGACCGGCGCACGGGUGAGUAACGCGUAUCCAACCUGCCUCUGACUGAGGGAUAACCCGUCGAAAGUCGGCCUAAUACCUCAUGGCAUCGUCUGCGGGCAUCCAACGACGAUUAAAGAUUUCAUCGGUCAGGGAUGGGGAUGCGUCUGAUUAGCUUGUUGGCGGGGUAACGGCCCACCAAGGCUACGAUCAGUAGGGGUUCUGAGAGGAAGGUCCCCCACAUUGGAACUGAGACACGGUCCAAACUCCUACGGGAGGCAGCAGUGAGGAAUAUUGGUCAAUGGGCGGGAGCCUGAACCAGCCAAGUAGCGUGCAGGAUGACGGCCCUAUGGGUUGUAAACUGCUUUUAUGCGGGGAUAAAGUGAGGGACGUGUCCUUCAUUGCAGGUACCGCAUGAAUAAGGACCGGCUAAUUCCGUGCCAGCAGCCGCGGUAAUACGGAAGGUCCGGGCGUUAUCCGGAUUUAUUGGGUUUAAAGGGAGCGUAGGCCGUGGAUUAAGCGUGUUGUGAAAUGCAGGUGCUCAACGUCUGCACUGCAGCGCGAACUGGUCCACUUGAGUGUGCGCAACGCAGGCGGAAUUCGUCGUGUAGCGGUGAAAUGCUUAGAUAUGACGAAGAACUCCGAUUGCGAAGGCAGCUUGCGGGAGCACAACUGACGCUGAAGCUCGAAAGUGCGGGUAUCGAACAGGAUUAGAUACCCUGGUAGUCCGCACGGUAAACGAUGGAUGCCCGUUGUCAGGCUGUUUCAGCCUGGUGACCAAGCGAAAGCAUUAAGCAUCCCACCUGGGGAGUACGCCGGCAAACGGUGAAAACUCAAAAGGAAAUUGACGGGGGCCCGCACAAAGCGGAGGAAACAUGUGGUUUAAAUUCGAUGAUACGCGAGGAAACCUUACCCGGGCUUGAAAUUGCAGACGAACGAUUCAGAGAUGAUGAGGCCCUUCGGGGCGUUCUGUGAAGGUGCUGCAUGGUUGUCGUCAGCUCGUGCCGUGAGGUGUUCGGCUUAAAGUGCCAUAACGAGCGCAACCCCUUUUCUUCAGUUGCCAUCAGGUGAUGCUGGGCACUCUGUAGAUACUGCCACCGCAAGGUGUGAGGAAAGGUGGGGAUGACGUCAAAUUCAGCACGGCCCUUACGUCCGGGGCUACACACGUGUUACGAAUGGCCGGUACAGAGAAGUUGAUUUUGUGCGAAACACGAAUCUAACCCUUAAAUCCGGUUCCCGGUUUCGGAACUGGGGUUCUGCAACCCGACCCC